GAUGAACGCUGGCGGCGUGCCUAAUACAUGCAAGUCGAGCGAACGGACGAGAAGCUUGCUUCUCUGAUGUUAGCGGCGGACGGGUGAGUAACACGUGGAUAACCUACCUAUAAGACUGGGAUAACUUCGGGAAACCGGAGCUAAUACCGGAUAAUAUUUUGAACCGCAUGGUUCAAAAGUGAAAGACGGUCUUGCUGUCACUUAUAGAUGGAUCCGCGCUGCAUUAGCUAGUUGGUAAGGUAACGGCUUACCAAGGCAACGAUGCAUAGCCGACCUGAGAGAGUGAUCGGCCACACUGGAACGGAGACACGGUCCAGACUCCUACGGGAGGCAGCAGUAGGGAAUCUUCCGCAAUGGGCGAAAGCCUGACGGAGCAACGCCGCGUGAGUGAUGAAGGUCUUCGGAUCGUAAAACUCUGUUAUUAGGGAAGAACAUAUGUGUAAGUAACUGUGCACAUCUUGACGGUACCUAAUCAGAAAGCCACGGCUAACUACGUG
rnacentral:rRNA from 1 species